rnacentral:rRNA from 1 species
GCAGGCGGAAUAAUAAGUCAGUGGUGAAAGCCCAUAGCUCAACUAUGGAACUGCCAUUGAUACUGUUAUUCUUGAGUGUGGUUGAGGUUGGCGGAAUGUGUCAUGUAGCGGUGAAAUGCAUAGAUAUGACACAGAACACCGAUAGCGAAGGCAGCUAACCAAGCCAUUACUGACGCUCAGGCACGAAAGCGUGGGUAGCGAACAGGAUUAGAUACCCUGGUAGUCCACGCCGUAAACGAUGAUCACUCGACAUUGGCAACAUACAGUCAGUGUCCUAGCGAAAGUGUUAAGUGAUCCACCUGGGGAGUACGAUCGCAAGAUUGAAACUCAAAGGAAUUGACGGGGGCCCGCACAAGAGGUGGAGCAUGUGGUUUAAUUCGAUGAUACGCGAGGAACCUUACCAAGGCUUAAGUGCAGAACGACAGACCUGGAAACAGGUCCUUCUUCGGACGUUUUGCAAGGUGCUGCAUGGCUGUCGUCAGCUCGUGCCGUGAGGUGUCGGGUUAAGUCCCAUAACGAGCGCAACCCCUAUUUCUAGUUGCUAACAGGUAAUGCUGAGGACUCUAGAGAAACUGCCGGCGUAAGCCGCGAGGAAGGUGGGGAUGACGUCAAGUCAUCACGGCCCUUACGUCUUGGGCUACACACGUGCUACAAUGGCGAGUACAGAAGGCUGCCACCAGGUGACUGGGAGCAAAUCCUCAAAGCUCGUCUCAGUUCGGAUCGAAGUCUGCAACUCGACUUCGUGAAGCUGGAAUC